rnacentral:tRNA from 1 species
GCGUGUGUAGCUCAAUUGGCUAGAGCGUUUCCUUGCCAAGGAAGAGGUUACGGGUUCGAGUCCCGCCACGCGCUCCA